UGAGUUUUAAGUGAAAUCCAAUCUCUAAAACUAUGCAAUACACCAGCCACUCCAUUUCAGAACGAACUUCGUAUGAACCUGAAUUGUCCAAUUUCAUGGACCAAUCGAUAUCGAAUUGAGCCAAAAACUUGGGGAACAUUAUAAUGUGGCGGCUGGAGUCAUUUGGUAGGUUUAGAGUGAAAUCCAAUCCCUAGAACUAUGCAAUACACCAG
rnacentral:lncRNA from 1 species